rnacentral:rRNA from 1 species
CGUGUAGGCGGCCGUGUAUGUCGGGUGUGAAAUCCCUCGACUCAAUCGAGGAACUGCAUUCGAAACUACAUGGCUAGAGUUCAGAAGGGGAGAGCGGAAUUCCUGGUGGAGCGGUGAAAUGCGUAGAGAUCAGGAGGAACACCGGUGGCGAAGGCGGCUCUCUAGUCUGCAACUGACGCUGAGGCGCGAAAGCCAGGGGAGCGAACAGGAUUAGAUACCCUGGUAGUCC